rnacentral:lncRNA from 1 species
UUUGCCAAUCGAUUAUCGUGUGUCUUGUUUUUCUUGAAUCUUGAAACUAUAUAAGCCAAUCGAUUUACCAAUCGAUUCUUUAAACAACAUUUUUCAGUGAUUAUGUUAAGACUUAUAUGCAUCGAUUUCGUAAUCGAUUGCAGACGUUAUGUUUAAAUUAAAACACAUACCAAUCGAUUUCGUAAUCGAUUUAUUAAGUCUUCAUAAUCGAUUAACAAAUACUCAGAAUCGAUUUGGCCACAAGCUCAGAG